GACGAACGCUGGCGGCGUGCUUAACACAUGCAAGUCGAACGGUGAAGCUCCAGCUUGCUGGAGUGGAUCAGUGGCGAACGGGUGAGUAACACGUGAGCAACCUGCCCCUGACUCUGGAAUAAGCGCUGGAAACGGCGUCUAAUACUGGAUACGAGAAGGGUCCGCAUGGACACUUUCUGGAAAGUUUUUCGGUUGGGGAUGGGCUCGCGGCCUAUCAGCUUGUUGGUGAGGUAAUGGCUCACCAAGGCGACGACGGGUAGCCGGCCUGAGAGGGCGACCGGCCACACUGGGACUGAGACACGGCCCAGACUCCUACGGGAGGCAGCAGUGGGGAAUAUUGCACAAUGGGCGAAAGCCUGAUGCAGCGACGCCGCGUGAGGGAUGACGGCCUUCGGGUUGUAAACCUCUUUCAGCAGGGAAGAAGCGAAAGUGACGGUACCUGCAGAAGAAGCACCGGCUAACUACGUG
rnacentral:rRNA from 1 species